ACAUGCUAGUCGAGCGAAUGGAUUAGAGAGCUUGCUCUCAAGAAGUUAGCGGCGGACGGGUGAGUAACACGUGGGUAACCUGCCCAUAAGACUGGGAUAACUCCGGGAAACCGGGGCUAAUACCGGAUAACAUUUUGAACUGCAUGGUUCGAAAUUGAAAGGCGGCUUCGGCUGUCACUUAUGGAUGGACCCGCGUCGCAUUAGCUAGUUGGUGAGGUAACGGCUCACCAAGGCAACGAUGCGUAGCCGACCUGAGAGGGUGAUCGGCCACACUGGGACUGAGACACGGCCCAGACUCCUACGGGAGGCAGCAGUAGGGAAUCUUCCGCAAUGGACGAAAGUCUGACGGAGCAACGCCGCGUGAGUGAUGAAGGCUUUCGGGUCGUAAAACUCUGUUGUUAGGGAAGAACAAGUGCUAGUUGAAUAAGCUGGCACCUUGACGGUACCUAACCAGAAAGCCACGGCUAACUACGUGCCAGCAGCCGCGGUAAUACGUAGGUGGCAAGCGUUAUCCGGAAUUAUUGGGCGUAAAGCGCGCGCAGGUGGUUUCUUAAGUCUGAUGUGAAAGCCCACGGCUCACCCGUGGAGGGUCAUUGGAAACUGGGAGACUUGAGUGCAGAAGAGGAAAGUGGAAUUCCAUGUGUAGCGGUGAAAUGCGUAGAGAUAUGGAGGAACACCAGUGGCGAAGGCGACUUUCU
rnacentral:rRNA from 1 species